rnacentral:tRNA from 1 species
GCAUUGGUGUUUCCAUGGUAGAAUUCUUGCCUUCCGUGCAGGACACAACGGUUCAAUUCCAACCCAAUGCU